GGCUGCCGCUGGACCCCGGCGCGCUCGGCGACGCGCUGGUCAGGCAGCUGGCCCCGCUGCAGGUGAGUGCAGACCAGUAUAAACCAGUAUAAACCAGUAUAAACCAGUAUAAACCAGUAUGAACCAGUAUGGAACCAGUAUAGAGCAGUAUAGAGCAGCAUGGGACCAGUAUGGACCAGUAUGGAACCUGGGGGCACUGGGGGGUUCUGGGCCCCGGCGCGCUUGGCGACGCGCUGGUCAGGCAGCUGGCCCCGCUGGAGGUGAGUAUAGACCAGUAUAAACCAGUAUAAACCAGUAAAAACCAGUAAAAACCAGUAUGGAACCAGUCUAGAGCAGUAUAAACCAGUAUGGAACCAGUAUAGAGCAGUAUAGAGCAGCAUGGGACCAGUAUGGACCAGUAUGGAACCAGGGGGCACUGGGGGGUUCUGGGCCCCGGCGCGCUUGGCGACGCGCUGGUCAGGCAGCUGGCCCCGCUGCAGGUGAGUGCAGACCAGUACAAACCAGUACAAACCAGUAAAAACCAGUAUGGAACCAGUAGAGAGCAGUAUGGAACCAGUAGAGAGCAGUAUGGAACCAGUAUAGAGCAGUAUAAACCAGUAUAUCCCAGUAUAUCCCAGUAUAUCGCAGUGUAUCCCAGUAUAACCCAGUAUAUCCCAAUACAUCCCAGUAUAUCCCAGUAUAUCCCAGUCCACCCUAGUAUAACCCAGUAUAACCCAGUAUAACCCAGUAUAUCCCAGUCCAUCCCAGUCCACCCCAGUCCAUCCCAGUAUUUCCAGUAUUCCCAGUCCAUCCCAGUCCAUCCCAGUCCACCCCAGUAUUCCCAGUAUUCCCAGUAUUCCCAGUUCAUCCCAGUCCAUCCCAGUAUUCCCAGUAUUCCCAGUAUUCCCAGUCCAUCCCAGUCCAUCCCAGUCCACCCCAGUCCAUCCCAGUAUUCCCAGUAUUCCCAGUCCAUCCCAGUCCAUCCCAGUCCACCCCAGUCCACCCCAGUAUUCCCAGUAUUCCCAGUAUUCCCAGUAUUCCCAGUAUUCCCAGUCCACCCCAGUCCAUCCCAGUCCACCCCAGUCCAUCCCAGUCCACCCCAGUAUUCCCAGUAUUCCCAGUAUUCCCAGUAUUCCCAGUAUUCCCAGUCCAUCCCAGUAUUCCCAGUCCAUCCCAGUCCACCCCAGUAUUCCCAGUCCACCCCAGUAUUCCCAGUAUUCCCAGUAUUCCCAGUAUUCCCAGUCCACCCAGUGCAGCCCCCGCCGCCCGCAGGCGCGCGGCCUCUCGCUGCAGUGCCUCUCCUCGGCCAGAGGGGGCGUGGUGCGCGCGGCGGCCGCGCUGCGCCGCGACAUGGCGGGCUCGGACCGCGGCAACGAGCGGCUGAACGGCGGCUUCAACGCGCGGCUGAUGGCCGCCGAGGCGUCCCUGCUGUCCCCGUUCGUGUCCCCUCUGGUGUCCCCGUUCCGCCACGUCCUGCUGGGCCGGGGCGGCCACACGCUNNNNNCUGUCCCUGUCCCUCUGUCCCUGUCCCCAUCCCUGUCCCUCUGUCCCUGUCCCCGUGUCCCUGUCCCCAUCCAUGUCCCUGUCCCUGUCCCCAUCCCCAUGUCCCUGUCCCUGUCCCUCUGUCCCUGUCCCCGUGUCCCCAUCCCCGUGUCCCUGUCCUCAUCCUUGUCCCUCUGUCCCUGUUCCUGUCCCUCUGUCCCCGUCCCUGUGUCCCCAUCCCUGUGUCCCUGUCCCUCUGUCCCUGUCCCUGUCCCUGUCCCCAUCCCUGUCCCUCUGUCCCUGUCCCCAUCCCUGUCCCCAUCCCUCUGACCCUGUCCCUGCCCCCUCCCCGUGUCCCUGUCCCUGACCCCAUCCCUGUCCCUGUCCUCAUCCUCGUGUCAUUGUCCCUGUCCCCAUCCCUGUCCCUGUCCCCAUCCCCGUGUCAUUGUCCCUGUCCCCAUCCCCGUGUCAUUGUCCCUGUCCCCAUCCCCGUGUCCCCGUCCCUGUCCCUCUGUCCCUGUCCCUCUGUCCCUGUCCCCAUCCCUCUGACCCUGUCCCUGUCCCCAUCCCCGUGUCCCCGUCCCUGUCCCCAUCCCUGUCCCUCUGUCCCUGUCCCCAUCCCCGUGUCCCCUCACCCCGUCCCUGUGUCCCCAGGCCGAGGCGUCCCUGCUGUCCCCGUUCGUGUCCCCUCUGGUGUCCCCGUUCCGCCACGUCCUGCUGGGCCGGGGCGGCCACACGCUGCCGGCGCUGGUGGCCGAGCUGGGCGCGGCGGCGACGCGCGGCGACAGCGGCGACAAAAGGGGGGACAGCGGCGACAACGGCGACAAAAGGGGGGACAGCGGCGACAACGGUGACAAAAGGGGGGACAGCGGCGACAGCGGCGACAAAAGGGGGGACAGCGGCGACAGCGGCGACAGCGGCAGUGGCAGCGGCCGCCUGCGGGUGGCGCUCCUGGCCUGGACCCUGCGCGGCACCGCGGGGGCGCUGGCCGGGGACAGCGGCGACCUCGGGGACAUGGGCGGGGCCGGGGACAGCGGCGGCUGCGGCCACCUCGGCGACAUCGGCGGCGACAGCCCCGGUGGCCCUGGGGACCUCGGGGACAUUGGGGACACUGGAGACACUGGG
rnacentral:lncRNA from 1 species